rnacentral:rRNA from 1 species
UACGGGGGGGGCAAGCGUUGUUCGGAAUUACUGGGCGUAAAGGGCGCGUAGGCGGCUUUGCAAGUCAGAUGUGAAAGCCCCGGGCUUAACUCGGGAACUGCAUCUGAGACUGCUUAGCUUGAGUCCUGGAGGGGGUAGUGGAAUUCCCAGUGUAGCGGUGAAAUGCGUAGAUAUUGGGAGGAACACCUGCGGCGAAGGCGGCUACCUGGACAGUGACUGACGCUGAGGCGCGAAAGCUAGGGGAGCGAACGGG